rnacentral:lncRNA from 1 species
AUACGGAGGCCUUAAUUCUGGCUAUCAGUUAGGUUUCACAGUUUUCUUCACGUCAUAGCUACUGCAAGCCUAGUUCACAGCAGUCUGUACCUUCUUGCACUAGUUCUGCAGCUGUCUUCAGAGUUCUUGAUCCAACUUGCCCGAUCAUACCAUAUCAGCCUGGGAUGGGUGAUGGCCUUGAAACUUUCCCUUCUUUGGCAUGCACUACAUUUUGUUAAGUAAAGUUCUCAUUGGACCUAUGAAGA